ACAAACUUGGUCAUUUAGAGGAAGUAAAAGUCGUAACAAGGUCUCCGUUGGUGAACCAGCGGAGGGAUCAUUACCGAGUUUACAACUCCCAAACCCCUGUGAACCUUACCAGUAUCGUUGCCUCGGCGGGGGGGAGCACCCGCAGAGCGGGAGCGCCCCGCCCGCCAGAGGAGAACCCCAAACUCUUCUGUAUCUACAUACCGGAAUCUCUGAGUGAUACAAGCAAAUCAGUCAAAACUUUCAACAAUGGAUCUCUUGGUUCUGGCAUCGAUGAAGAACGCAGC
rnacentral:misc_RNA from 1 species